CGGCGGGCGCGCGCUCUGCAAACCGCGAGCCCGGCCGCGUCCACGUCGCGCGGCCGCGGACCCCUGGACGCGUCCCUCUCCCGGGGAACCGGACGCAGACCCCGGGCCGAGCUCGUCCUGAAAGCCUGGCGCGCCCUCCGAGCCGCAGGCGGGGAGACCCGUGCAGAGCUUGGCUGCAUCACUGACGUGAUGGCCCGGCUCCCGGUUGGAACCUUCGUAGAGGAAAAUGUAAAACUCUUUGUCUCCGUCUCUGCUUCCUCGGAACUUUUCCUGGUGAGCGCUGGAGACGCGUGUGGAAGCGUGCGGACAGCGCAGGGGUCGUUGCCAUCUGAGACUCGUACCUGGAUUUUGGCCAGCAGCACCUCACCUGAUGUUCUCUGCGGAAGUGCAGUGCCUUGAUUGUUUAAAUGACUAGUUUUUCGUGCAAUUGUUUCUUCUCACUCCUCACAGGGUGGAAACGUGGUAUCCACACACCCCUCACCCCCAACACACAUCUUGGAAGGCUUCAAAUAGUCCAAGACACUUAGUGUUUGUGGAUGAGUGGAACCGUGAACCCUUUAGCGGAAGUGUGGGAGAAAGGCAAUUACUUCCUCAAUUAUACUUAAUAAAUACUGGACUUUUUAAAAACCAAGUCAGGAGACGGGCUUAGUUAGGGCAGAACACUGAGUCUUGGUAAGGAGCGCUGGGGGAGACUGGGGAAGGCAGGCCUUGAGUGGCAGCGGUGGGGGGGCUUCCCCAGGCUGUAGGGUCCCAAACAUUCUGGAGACCUAUAUUUCACAGAUGGAUACAGUAGUACUCAGGACACAUGCUCUCUGCCAAGACUGUGUCAGGCACUGGGCUUGGGGCCCCUGCACAUGCCAGUCCUGUUCUUCUCCCUGAAGACAGGCUUCAGGAGAAGAGGGAAAGAAGGUCAGGACUUUGAGCACAGGUUUUGAAGACAUGGGGUUCAGAAAUCAGACUUGGGGCACAUGAGAGUUCUGUUCUGCCCUCGGCCGUCCUAUAACUCGCUCUGACCAGGCUGACCUUGAGCCCAGAGAUCUGCCUGCCCCUGCCCCUGCCCCUGCCCCUGCCCCUGCCCCUGCCCCUGCCCCUGCCCCUGCCCCUGCCCCUGCCCCUGCCCCUGCCCCUGCCCCUGCCCCGGCCCCUGCCUCCUGAGUGCUGGGAUUAAAGGUGCUGAGAUCUAAGUCAUGCACCACACUGCCAGGCCUUAGUUGUGUCUUCUGUUUGUUUAUUACAGAUUUAUUUUUAUUGUCUGCGUGUGAGAAUGCACAGGAGUGCAGGUGCUCGGAGCAGGGAUUCUGGAGAUGCAGUUACAGACAGUUGAGAGCUGCUGAUUGUGGGUGCUGGGAACAGAACGCGGGUCCCCUGGAAGAGCAGCAAGUGCUCUUAGCCACUGAGCCAUUUCUGCAGCCUCCCUAGUUUCGUUUUUUUAUAACUUGAUCAAUAUAAGCUGGAUGUCAUGGCGCAGGCCUUCAGCUCCUGACCUGAGGAGGCAGAGGUGAAUGGAUCUCUGUGAAUUCAAAGCCAGCCUAAUCUAGAAUGAGUUCCAGGACCCUGUCUCAAUUUAAAAUAACAAUCUGAAUGACAAACUUAUUUGUUUUAAGACAGGGUCUUAUUGUAGAGAAUUUAUUAAUUUGGCAGGUUUUUCUAACCUGGCUAGCUCCCAAAUAAUUGAGACAGAGACCUAGUGAUUUAUUAAAACAGCUUUAAGCAAAAUAACUGGGCAACUAUGAUUUAUACUAAUUUUCUAGGUAACUGAGGAUGACCUUGAAUACUUGAUCCUCCUGCCUCCACCCCUCAAAUGUUGGCAUCACAAGUUGUUACCACGAUACCUGGCAAGUAUGACUUUAAUUAGUACUGACUACUAAAAUCACAUUUCCAAUUUCUAGGGCUGUUUUUGUUUUUGUUAUGUGUGUGUAUGUGUUUAACCAUAUGUAUUUAUCAAUAAUUCCUAGGUCAGCAAUGCUGUUUUUAACUUUUUUUUUUUGUCUUCACAAACAGAACUCUUAGAAUAAUAGACUCAGGGCUGGGCAGUGGCGGCACAUACCUUCCAUCCUGCCCCUUGAGUGCUGGGAACAAAGGUGUGCACCACUGAGCCUGGCCUGAGAUGGUCUUAGUGUGGAGCCCAAGGCUGUCUUCACAUGGAUCCUCUCGUCUCGCGCUCCCCAGUGCUGGGAUUACAAGCAUGCAUGCCAUGUGUAGCUGGAUUUCUGUUUUAAGUUUUGGAACCUAUGGCCUACAUUCUCACUGGUAACAAUUGUCCUGGGAGUAGCAUGGCUUUUCUCUCUGUGUGGAAGCCUGUCCUCAACAUCAACCCAGCUGCUUGCAACUCUGCCGUAGCCUUCAUUCUCCACUCUAAGGACCUGCUGGGGUGAAACUUAAAGGUCUUCUCAGGCCAUUCGCUCACCAGGCACCUCGCUGUGCAUGCCUGUGACUUUCUGAAUUUCUUGAAAUUUGAGGAAGCUUUUCAGUGCGCCAUAAAAAAAAUCCCUUCCAGUUCUUCCUGCUGGAUGUUGAGCUAUUGUUUGCCUCACCGCUAGCUAAUCUUCACUCCACACAGCUGACAUUCAUUUGUCUCUCAGCAUCUUAGAGAACGCACCUCGACAGGAGCCUUUCCCACCUGGGAUUUCUGUUAGGGAAAACACAGACCCAGGUUUGGCCUCAGUCCUCUGGGCUGUUCCCAGAUGUGUUGAAACAGGUAAAGAUAAUUCUUUUAGAACAAGGCCUGCUUUCCCUCCCUCCCGAGCCAGUCGCCUGGGUCCUCACAACCACUGCUGUGUGGACUGAUUCUGCGGCUGCAGCAAAAUCCCUGAGGUAAAAACUCACGUGGAGACGUGGAGGAAAAGUGUAUUUUGGCCCGUGGUUUCAGAAGUUUCAGUCCUUGGUGAUUUGGCCCCAUGUCUUUGGUCCUGUGGCAGGACCGAAGUCCUAAGAUCUCUUCGGAAGGCCUGGCCCCCACGAUCUAGCUUUUUUCCACUGGGCCCCACUUCCUAAUAUUUUUCGCUUCUGAUGGCACCACAGGCUGUGAUCAAGAGUCAACACAAGAAGCCAGCACUCCAGAGGUUGAGGCAGGGGGAUCUCUGUGAGUUCCAGGGCUAAAUAGUCUCAAAAAAACCAAAAACAAGCCAUGCGGUGGUGGUGCUCACCUCUAAUCCCAGCAUUUGGGAGGCAGAGGCAGGUGGAUUUCUGAGUUUGAGGCCAGGCUGGUCUACAGAGUUCCAGGAUGGCCAGGACUACACAGAGAAACCCUGUCUCAAAACCUGCAAAACUCCAAAAUGAAGACUCCACACACAGUCCUUGGAGACAUUUAAGAUCCAUGCUGAAACAACCAACCACCAACCCCAGGAAGGGAACGGGACAAAGACAGGACAGGGUCUCUCACUGAACCUGGAACUCACCAGCUUGACUGGACUGUCCGAGCAGGGAGCCAGCCUGGGAUCUGGCCAUCUGUGCCCUCAGUGCUGGGAUACAGGGAGGUACUGCCAUGCCCAGCUUUACCUCCACUGCUGGGGACCUCGUGCUUACACAGAAAGUGCUCUACCCACUGAGCAUCUUAAAAGUUUGCCUCCGAGUUUUAUUGGCUUUUGGCACUUUCAUUCCACUCUGCCCAGGAAGUCCACAGCAGCAGACAAAUGUCGGGUUUCAGGCAUACAAAGCCUCUCCAAAAACUGUGUCUGUACAGCCAGUGCAGUGAUGCACGCUUUUAAUCCCAGCACUUGGAGGCAGAGCCAGGGAGAGCUCUGUGAGCUGGAGGCCAGCCUGGUCUACAUAAUGAGUUUUGAGGACAGCCAGAAAUACAUGCUAGAGAUGCCGUGUCUCAACAGAACAAAACAGCCUGGCUGUAUCAGGGCUUGAGGGCAGUUAGCACCUGCAGAUUCAUCUGCCAUGCUGUCUCGGAGUCCUUGCCCUCGUCCUGCACGUGUGCACACAGUCCUGGUUCCUUCUAAGGACUUAGCGCUGGUCACUGCCUCUGUUCCCAGGAGAACUUCAGUUUACUCCUCUGUAAAGCAGGGCUACAGAAGGGAGAAGCUGGACUCUAUAGCGCAGUGGCUCUCAACAUGGGGGUCAAGAACCUUUUGAGGGUCGGACAGCUCUUUUACAGGGGUCACCUAAGACCAUCAGAAAACAGAUAUCAGCCCAGCAGGUGCUGGCACACGCCAGAUAUCUGUGAGUUCCAGGCCAGGACAGCCAAGGCUACACAGUGAAACCCUGUCUUGAAAAAGAAAAUAAAGAAAGAAGAGAGAGAGAGAGAAGAAAGAGAAAGAGAAGAAGAAAACGGAAAGAAAGAACAGAUAUUUACAAUUUGUAAAAUGAAUUUACAAUUCAUAACAGUAGUAAAAUGACAGUUAAGAAGUGGCAACAAAAGUAACUUUAUGGUUGGUGGGGGUUGCUGAAACGUGAAUGUCAUUCUGGAGCUUCGGGGCCUCCAGCCGCUGAUGAGUACAGGUGCUGGACUCAAAGGAAUGAGGCUUAGCCGGGCGGGUGGGUCUGCAGGAUCCUGAUUCCUGGAUGCCCGAGGGGUUUGGAUCUACAUAUCUGGCACAGCUCUUCUAGUGACACAGCUCUAUUGGGGGGAGGGGAGACGGGGGGGCAGGGUAAAGGCUAUAUAAACCUUUGGGAAGUGGGAGGGUUUUCUGGGUUUGGCUGGGACUGAGGUGCUGGGAAUGCUUCAUUUGCAUGGAGAGGAAUUUCAGGUGCCAGCUGGACAAGUCCUUGUCACCAGGCUAUGUGACUCUCUCAAGGAUGGCGCAGGUAGGGGAUCACAAGACUACGGGCCCCAGGGCAUGCAGACACAGGACAGGGAGGGAGUGAUUUUUAUUCUGCUACUGUCAAGACUAAGAGCUUCAGCCAUGUGCGGUGGCACACCCCGAGAGGCAGAGGCAGGCGGGUCUCUGAGUUCUGAGUUCGAGGCCGGUGUGGUCUGCAAAGUGAGUCCAGGACAGCCAAGGCUACACAGAGAAACCCUGUCUUGAAAAAACAAAAACAAAACAAAGCAGCCUCUGGUCUAAUGGAACAGUUGGGUGGGAAGAUGAAAUUAUUUUUUCUUUUUUAAAAGAUUUACUUUAUGUAUAUGAGUACUCUAUCUGCAUGUGCACCUGCACGCCAGAAGAGGGCCUCAGAUGAUGUUACAGAUGGUUGUGAGCCACCAUGUGGUUGCCAGGAAUUGAACUCAGGACCUCUGGAAGAACAGCCAGUGUUCUUAUCUGCUGAGAUUCUCUCCAGCCCCAGGGAAGAUGAAAUUCUAAGUGUGACAUCUGGGCCUGGUUCUUCACUGCUCAGCCCAACUCUCAGCUUACUCCAGGUGACAGAAACCCCUGUGGGUUUCCUGGGGCUGCCUGGUCUCAGUGGAGGGAUGGGUACUUUCCUGACCCCAUCUGCAAGGCCUAGAGAGUUCUCUGGAGGCACAGACUCAGCUAGCAUGGGGACACAGUCCCACCAGCCGCAGUCAGCUCUUGGUCUUUGCUUGAGGUCUACCUUGUAGCUUAUCUCUGCCUUCAAAGUCAUACCUUGCCUUACCGUCCGCUAAGAUAGCAAGAGCCUGUGGCUUCCACGUGUGUGCCCUGUACUGGCUACACAAAUGUUCAGUUGGCACAUGUGUGCAAAGACGAAGGAGACCAAUUCUCCACUCCUCAGGGACCCUGGCAAGAUUGCUCGAGUCCUGCUCAGGCUGACUGCCUCACUGAGGCUAAGAUUCCUCAAAACGAGGAGGAACACCGGGAGCAGAAGCAGAUGCAGGGGAGAGCUGGGCUUCAGGAAAGGGGACAGCAGCGGCUAGAUACUCAGCCAAGUUCCCUGCUCGAAGUACAAAGCCACACUGCUUCCUACACUCCAGGUUCAUUUAUUUUUCCUUGGUGGGCAUGAGUGUUCGCCUGCAUGCGUGGAUGAACACCGUGUUUGUGCCUGGCACCCACAGAGCCUACAAGAGGGUGUUGCAUCCCUGGGACUGGAGUUCCAGGGCUUCUAGUCACCAUUGAGUGCUGGGAACCAAACCUGGCUGCUUUGGAAGGACAGCUUCUUGCAGACCCAUUUGGCCGCCUCGGCCAUCAAAGCCAGCCAGCGCACAACCCUCUGCCCCUUCCAGAAUCUGCCAACUCAACUCUGCCCCACCCAGUUUACUGAGGCCAACCAAGCAAGCAGAACAUUCCGGAAAAACCAUCAUAGAAAUGAACGGU